UACGUAGGUGGCGAGCGUUGUCCGGAUUUAUUGGGCGUAAAGGGCGCGCAGGCGGUGCGGUAAGACUGCCGUGAAAUCUCCCGGCUCAACUGGGAGGGUGCGGUGGAGACUGCCGGACUGGAGGCAUUCAGAGGCCGGUGGAAUUCCCGGUGUAGUGGUGAAAUGCGUAGAGAUCGGGAGGAACACCAGUGGCGAAGGCGGGUCUCUGGGCAGUAACUGACGCUGAGGAGCGAAAGCGUGGGGAGCGAACAGG
rnacentral:rRNA from 1 species